rnacentral:tRNA from 1 species
GCCUUCGUGAUGGAAUUGGUAGACAUCCUGGUUUUAGGAACCAGUGCUUAUAAGGCGUGCCGGUUCAAAUCCGGCCGAGGGCA